UAAUAAUUUAAAUGGGGGCAUAAAGAAGGUUGAGCAGAUGAAUUCCUAAGCAAUGAAAUCUUUAUUCACACAACUUUUCUGAGUAAUAAAAACAGGGGGAUAGAAAUACAGGAAAAAGUGCAAUUCCAAUUCUUCUGAGACCGAUACAUCAUUUGCUGCCUUUCAUUGAAGGCUUUCAGGAAUCAUGUACUUCCCAGUGGGCAAGGAUGCAAACAACAUCUCUUGUCUCCCAUUUUGUGAUUGCUGACUACAGAGCAGCACAGCAAGAGUGGAACAAUUACUGCAGGAUUCCUCAUUGGAAUCACACCAGCCAUCUCUUCGCCUCUUCAAGGAGCAGCACACUAACUGGGAUUAUCAGCUGGAUUCUUCUCUCACAUAUCAAUGGCGUUGCUUCUCGUUUACACCAGACUUUCUUGUUAUGCAGAUUCUAUAGAUAAGUGACAUGAAGUACAUGGCAAUUAAACACACAUCUAAGAAGCCACUGAAGAAAGGGUCAUUCCGUAAGUUGACACAAGCUGAGGAGAUGAUCCUGGGGUGGCAGCACUGCAGCUCCUACGGCACAACAUCAGCUCUGCAUUUACACUGGCACUGAGAUAAGCACUGAGUGUCCUGGAAGAGUCAAGGCCUGUGGAGACUGACACCUCUCAGACAGCCCUGAUUACCAAUCCAUUAGCUCCUUUCCUGAUCUCUGCACCAUCAAAAACAAGCCUCAACUUUCCAUCCAAUGUUUCCCAGAUGAUUGACAUCUCAGACCCUCAGAGGGUGUGGAGCGCCCAGAAAAUACCUUGGAGGUCAUUAUUAUUCCCAUCAUUUAUCUGUGUGACCCAGACACUCCAGUCCGGAUAGGCAGCCCGCUGUGCCAGAAGCCAUACAAACACACAGCAAGAGACAAUCCCUGCCCUGAAGAGUUUGCAAUCGAUGUGAAGAGAAAAUGCAUGGAGUGAGUGUAGCAGGUGGUGGAAGGGAGAUGAGAGUCACAGUAAUAGGCACUCAAGGUUCUAUAGACCAGACCUGUGAAUAAUUUGCUGGUUCUCAGCCAGGGAAUUGUGACUGUGGAUUAUUUU